GAUGAAGAACGUAGCGAAAUGCGAUACGUGAUGUGAAUUGCAGAAUUCAGUGAAUCAUCGAAUCUUUGAACGCAUAUUGCGCUCUCUGGUAUUCCGGAGAGCAUGCUUGUUUGAGUAUCAGUAAACACCUCAACUUCCAUAUCUUUUUUGAAAUGGGAGUUGGACUUGAGUGAUCCCAACGCUUUUCCUCACCGAAAAGUGGCGGGUUACUUGAAAUGCAGGUGCAGCUGGACUUUUCUCUGAGCUAUAAGCAUAUCUAUUUAGUCUGCCUAAAAACAGAUUAUUACCUUUGCUGCAGCUAACAUAAAGGAGAUUAGUUCUUGUGCUGACUGAUGCAGGAUUCACAAAGACAGGCUUCGGCCGACUUUGUAAACUCGAUCUCAAAUCAAGUAAGACUACCCGCUGAACUUAAGCAUAUCAAUAAGCGGAGGA
rnacentral:misc_RNA from 1 species